AGAGUUUGAUCCUGGCUCAGGACGAACGCUGGCGGCAUGCCUAAUACAUGCAAGUCGAACGCGGCCAUCCGGUGCUUGCACUGGUGAAGCCGAGUGGCGAACGGGUGAGUAACACGUGAGAAACCUGCCCUGGAGUGGGGAAUAACUCGAAGAAAUUCGAGCUAAUACCGCAUACCUUCUCUUCACCGCAUGGUGAGUUGAAGAAAGAUUUAUCGCUCUAGGAGGGUCUCGCGGCCUAUCAGCUAGUUGGUGAGGUAAUGGCUCACCAAGGCAUCGACGGGUAGCUGGUCUGAGAGGACGAUCAGCCACACUGGGACUGAGACACGGCCCAGACUCCUACGGGAGGCAGCAGUAGGGAAUCUUGCGCAAUGGGCGAAAGCCUGACGCAGCAAUGCCGCGUGCGGGACGAAGGCCCUAGGGUCGUAAACCGCUUUCAGUAGGGACGAAAAUGACGGUACCUGCAGAAGAAGCUCCGGCCAACUACGUGCCAGCAGCCGCGGUGAUACGUAGGGAGCAAGCGUUGUCCGGAAUUACUGGGCGUAAAGGGCUCGUAGGUGGUUGAGUAAGUCAGAUGUGAAAUCUCAGGGCCCAACCCUGAGCCUGCAUUUGAUACUGCUCUGACUAGAGUCCGGUAGGGGAGUGCGGAACUCCUGGUGUAGCGGUGAAAUGCGCAGAUAUCAGGAAGAACACCGACAGCGAAGGCAGCACUCUGGGCCGGUACUGACACUGAGGAGCGAAAGCAUGGGUAGCAAACAGGAUUAGAUACCCUGGUAGUCCAUGCCGUAAACGUUGGGCACUAGGUGUGGGGAGAACUCAACUCUCUCCGCGCCGUAGCUAACGCAUUAAGUGCCCCGCCUGGGGAGUACGGCCGCAAGGCUA
rnacentral:rRNA from 2 species